ensembl:lncRNA
CCUGACGCGAGGCCUGCUGGGGCGCAAGGGCGGAGCCCGACCUCACAAGCACUUCCACCUGGCGUGCGGACUGCUGGGGCGCAAGCCCCGACCGGCCUCGGGACGGAGCGCAGGAUCCCGGCCGCCCGCGGCCCCCCCUCAGGCGCCGCCUACCGCAGCCCGGACAGCGCCCUCGCGGGUCGGCCUCGAUGGCCAGGAGCUGACGGAGUCGCCCCCUGGGCCGGCCGGCCGCAGACUCCCGUCAGCGGCGCUGCGGCCCCCGCCGACGUCCCCUUCCCACUUGUUCAGGGGCGUCCAGACCCUCUGAAUGGGGACGCCGACCCCGUGUCCAACGGCAGCCCAGGUGAUGUGCAACCUCAGGUGCAGCAGCCUGCCACCGUCGAUGCCCAUGGGUAGUCUCCCAGCUCCUCGCAGCCCGCCGAGCAUGUGCAGGGAGCCGGCCGCACACUGCUGACUGGAGACCGCUUGACACGCCCCCAUUUCUCUCGCCAGAGCGAGGCUCCGCGUGCCCACUUGCUGGCAGAGACAGGACAACCCUCAGGCCGCAGGUUGUUGGGGACUCUGGCCCCUGGGAACCUCAUCGAGCGCGGGCCUCGGCAGAGGGAGCUGCAGGGGGCAGCGCCUGCCUGGACCCUUGGCACUUCGUACGCAGUUCAGCACAGCCUCAAGGGCUAGGACCUGAAGGAGCCAACUCUGGUCCUGAUGACUUUUUGGUUCCUGGGAGCCCUGGCUACCUUUUGUUCGAAUUAGUUCGAGAGACUCCCUUGUAUCCGUCCGAAAUACUCGUUUUUCGUUAGCUAGUUUUGGUUCAGUAAAUAACACUGUCUUUAAGAAGACGAAUAAAGAGUUUCAGAACAUAGAUAUCUAAAUUAAUUUGCACUUCGAUUUUCUUUUGGUGAAAAAGAGAUUUAGUCUUGGAUUGUCACGUUAACAAGGAAGGCUUUUCACCAAAAGGAUCAGACUUCUGGAAAGAACUACAGGCUUAUGUGAUGGAGGAAAAGCAAGGAGAACUUGGAUGACAGCGUUUUGAAAGUUACUGGUACUACAUAUCAAGUUGGAGGAAAAAAUGAAGAGAAAUAUUUUGGCUGCAUAAUUCUCCUCCCAUCCCUACCCAUGCCAAGUCUUUUCCUUUGAGCUCUGAACCAUUAACUCAUUAACUCUUAGUGCACUCAGAGGCGUUACUAAGCUAAAGGGGAUUUUCCUCACCAGGGAAGAAAAAGGAACAAAGCUAUUUAUCAUUUUCUGGAGAAGAGAGAAAGGAAAACUAUCCAAAUAUAUUUUCUCUGAUUAAAAACAGCUAGCACCAUGAUCCUCCUAAUUACUAUCUCCCUUCUCCAAACUUCCUUAUCUAUGACUCUUAACUCUCUCAUCCAAUUAUUCAGCAAAUAUUUAAGUAGUUCAUACUAUGCAGCAGGCGUUUUUCUAAGCAUAGGAUUUAAAAAAUUGAAAUUCUAUAAUCUCAAACCUCAAAGUGAUGGGCAAACAGAUGCCAAACAACAACUAUAUACUACAUAAAAAGUGACUCAAUAGAGGAAUGCACACAGUGCAACGGAGAUCUGAAAAAACAUUAACUCUGGGAUUACAGAAAGGCUUCAGAGAAGGAGGAAUUGACUUUGACUUGAGAUUUGACGUGAAGAGUAACUAGGAGGAAUUCAUCAGGCAAGCUGGCCAAGAACUCUGGAGAUUGACCAAAGGAUUACAAUAAUACUAGGAGCAUUUAUUUAAGAAAAAUAGAUGAUUUGGGACAGAUGUCUACAAUAUGGCUAAUUAAGACAUUCCUCACUGUAACUCCCUGCUCAACAACAACAUAUGGGCAUCCAUCCACAGAAAAAUGUACCUUUGCGAGAGCUAUGGGAUCCAGCACUAUGUGUCAAGGGACCUGAGAGGAGUCUUACCCACCCAAGUGUCAAGUAAUAGGCAUACAGACCUCAGUCUUGGUUGUGGACCCUGCACUGACCCAUGAACUGGCUCCAGCUACUUUCAGUGCCCUCUCUCUUUGUCCUUUCCUGGAGAAUACUGUCUUAGACAAUCACUCAUAGACAAGUGAGCCUUUGUGGAAGUCUAGGAGCUCAGCGGAGAACUUCCAACACAUAGUUGGAACAAAAAAAAUACAAGUUUGAAUGCACUAGAGAGGGUAAGAGGAAUAAUUUGACUUUACUCACAUCACCCCUCACCCAAGGUGGCACAGCUCCAAGCCAGGAGAGACCUUCUUGGCCCAAGAUUUCUCCCAAAGGGGAAAGUAAGAGCAUGUAAGUGAGCACUCAACUUCUCCAGCUGGGUGGAAUGCUGCCACAAAGGCCCAUUUCUCUCUCACCCCAUCCAGAGUACUGAGUUGUGAGCUACACUAGUUGGGAAUGUGAAGUGGCUGGGAGAGUGGCAAGUAGGACCCUCAUAUGGCAUUAAAGGGCUGCAGAUCCUAGUAACUGCAUUGUGGACUUCAUCAAGAAGCUGCCCAUGAGAUACUGGAGAUACCUCAUCUGUGGAACCCCCACCUGGCUGAUGGGCACCCCCAGGGCUCUGUGCACCUCACCCACAUGCCCUGUGGCCAACUCCCUGUGCAGGCUCCUGAUGGUGGCAAGAAUGAACUUUGGCAGAGGACAAGUGAGCAUGUACAGAAAACCGACCUGAGUCUUCAGGCAAGAAAGAAACCAUAAACUUGAGCUUUUUGAGCUUUAGCACCACCCUUAGGAAACCUCAAUCAGGUUAAUGGCUGACUUUUCAUCAGAAACCAUGGACACUAGAAAGCAAUGGAAUGACAUUUUCAAAGUGCUGAAAAAGACAACCAAGAAUUCUAUAUCUUACAAAAGCAGCUUUCAAGAACAAAGGAGAAAUUAAUUUAUUCUCAGAUACUAAAAGACUUUAUCAUUAGCAGACCUACACUACAAGAAUUAUUAAAGGGAGUCCUUUAGGCUGAAAAAGACACUAGAUAGUAAUUUGUUUCAACACAAAGAAAUAAAAGCACUGGUAAAGAUAACUACAUAAAUUAAUAAAAGUGACAGUAUACAUAUCUUUUUGUAAAUCUUUUUAUAGCUAAUAUUAAAGACAAAUGUGUAAAUCUAUAAUUAUAAAACUAUAUUGAUGAGAUUAUAAUGUAUAAAGAUGUGAUUUAUAGGAUAAUAGUAGCACAAAGUUGGGGGAAAUGGAGCUGUAUUGGAGCAAAGCUUCUGUGUAAUAUUAAAAUUAAG